AGGUCGAAGGUGUAAGUGCAGCAAUGUAUUUAGCUUAUCGAUACUAAUAGGUCGAGGACUUGACCAAUAUUAUUUGAUGUUCACUU
rnacentral:rRNA from 1 species